rnacentral:pre_miRNA from 1 species
UCUCAGUCCCUGAGACCCUAACUUGUGACGUUUUGCUCUGAUGUCCACGGGUUAGGCUCUCGGGAGCUGUG